AACGAACGCUGGCGGCAGGCCUAACACAUGCAAGUCGAGCGGACCUUUCGGGGUCAGCGGCGGACGGGUGAGUAACGCGUGGGAAUAUGCCCUUCUCUACGGAAUAGUCCUGGGAAACUGGGGGUAAUACCGUAUACGCCCUUUGGGGGAAAGAUUUAUCGGGGAAGGAUUAGCCCGCGUUGGAUUAGGUAGUUGGUGGGGUAAUGGCCUACCAAGCCGACGAUCCAUAGCUGGUUUGAGAGGAUGAUCAGCCACACUGGGACUGAGACACGGCCCAGACUCCUACGGGAGGCAGCAGUGGGGAAUCUUAGACAAUGGGGGCAACCCUGAUCUAGCCAUGCCGCGUGAGUGAUGAAGGCCUUAGGGUUGUAAAGCUCUUUCAGCUGGGAAGAUAAUGACGGUACCAGCAGAAGAAGCCCCGGCUAACUCCGUGCCAGCCGCCGCGGUAACAC
rnacentral:rRNA from 1 species